AACGAACGCUGGCGGCAGGCUUAACACAUGCAAGUCGAACGCCCCGCAAGGGGAGUGGCAGACGGGUGUGUAACGCGUGGGAACGUGCCCUUCGCUUCGGAAUAGCCCCGGGAAACUGGGAGUAAUACCGAAUACGCCGUAUUGGGAAAGAUUUAUCGGCGAAGGAUCGGCCCGCGUUAGAUUAGCUAGUUGGCGGUGUAAUGGACCACCAAGGCUACGAUCUAUAGCUGGUCGGAGAGGAUGAUCAGCCACACUGGGACUGAGACACGGCCCAGACUCCUACGGGAGGCAGCAGAGGGGAAUCUUGGACAAUGGGCGCAAGCCUGAUCCAGCCAUGCCGCGUGAGUGAAGAAGGCCUUAGGGUUGUAAAACUCUUUCGCCGGAGAAGAUAAUGACGGUAUCCGGAGAAGAAGCCCCGGCUAACUUCGUGCCAGCAGCCGCCGUAACAC
rnacentral:rRNA from 1 species